rnacentral:rRNA from 1 species
AGAGUUUGAUCCUGGCUCAGAUUGAACGCUGGCGGCAUGCCUAACACAUGCAAGUCGAACGGCAGCAUGAUGUGUAGCAAUACACAUUGAUGGCGAGUGGCGGACGGGUGAGUAACGCGUAGGAAUCUGCCUUAGAGUGUGGAACAACUUGGGGAAACUCAAGCUAAUACCGCAUAAUGCCUGAGGGCCAAAGCGGGGGAUCGUAAGACCUCGCGCUCUAAGAUGAGCCUGCGUCGGAUUAGCUAGUUGGUGGGGUAAAGGCCCACCAAGGCAAUGAUCCGUAGCUGGUCUGAGAGGACGACCAGCCACACUGGGACUGAGACACGGCCCAGACUCCUACGGGAGGCAGCAGUGGGGAAUAUUGGACAAUGGGGGCAACCCUGAUCCAGCAAUGCCGCGUGUGUGAAGAAGGCCUGCGGGUUGUAAAGCACUUUGAUGGGGGAAAAAGGUCUUUUAGUUAACACCUAAGAGAAUUGAUACUACCCCAAGAACAAGCACCGGCUAACUCUGUGCCAGCAGCCGCGGUAAUACAGAGGGUGCAAGCGUUAAUCGGAAUGACUGGGCGUAAAGGGCGCGUAGGUGGUUGCUUAAGUUAGAUGUGAAAGCCCCGGGCUUAACCUGGGAACUGCAUCUAAUACUGAGUAGCUUGAGUAGAAUAGAGGGGAGUGGAAUUUCCGGUGUAGCGGUGGAAUGCGUAGAUAUCGGAAGGAACACCAGUGGCGAAGGCGGCUCCCUGGAUUCAUACUGACACUGAGGCGCGAAAGCGUGGGGAGCAAACAGGAUUAGAUACCCUAGUAGUCC